GACGAACGCUGGCGGCGUGCUUAACACAUGCAAGUCGAACGGAAAGGCCCUGCUUUUGUGGGGUGCUCGAGUGGCGAACGGGUGAGUAACACGUGAGUAACCUGCCCUUGACUUUGGGAUAACUUCAGGAAACUGGGGCUAAUACCGGAUAGGGGCUCCUGCUGCAUGGUGGGGGUUGGAAAGUUUCGGCGGUUGGGGUUGGACUCGCGGCUUAUCAGCUUGUUGGUGGGGUAGUGGCUUACCAAGGCUUUGACGGGUAGCCGGCCUGAGAGGGUGACCGGCCACAUUGGGACUGAGAUACGGCCCAGACUCCUACGGGAGGCAGCAGUGGGGAAUAUUGCACAAUGGGCGGAAGCCUGAUGCAGCAACGCCGCGUGCGGGAUGACGGCCUUCGGGUUGUAAACCGCUUUCGCCUGUGACGAAGCGUGAGUGACGGUAAUGGGUAAAGAAGCACCGGCUAACUACGUG
rnacentral:rRNA from 1 species